GACGAACGCUGGCGGCGUGCUUAACACAUGCAAGUCGAACGGAAAGGCCCUGCUUUUGUGGGGUGCUCGAGUGGCGAACGGGUGAGUAACACGUGAGUAACCUGCCCUUGACUUUGGGAUAACUUCAGGAAACUGGGGCUAAUACCGGAUAGGAGCUCCUGCUGCAUGGUGGGGGUUGGAUAGUUUCGGCGGUUGGGGAUGGACUAGCGGCUUAUCAGCUUGUUGGUUGGGUAGUGGCUUACCAAGGCUUUGACGGGUAGGCGGCCGGAGAGGGUGACCGGCCACAUUGCGACUGAGAUACGGCCCAGACUCCAACGGUAGGCAGCAGUGGGGAAUAUUGCACAAUGGGCGGAAGCCUGAUGCAGCAACGCCGCGUGCGGGAUGACGUCCUUCGGGUUGUAAACCGCUGUCGCCUGUGACGAAGCGUGAGUGACGGUAAUGGGUAAAGAAGCACCGGCUAACUACGUG
rnacentral:rRNA from 1 species